CAGCAGCCGCGGGAAUACGGAGGGUGCAAGCGUUAAUCGGAAUUACUGGGCGUAAAGCGUGCGUAGGCGGUUCGUUAAGUCUGUUGUGAAAGCCCCGGGCUCAACCUGGGAAUGGCAAUGGAUACUGGCGAGCUAGAGUGUGGUAGAGGAUAGUGGAAUUUCCGGUGUAGCAGUGAAAUGCGUAGAGAUCGGAAGGAACAUCUGUGGCGAAGGCGACUAUCUGGGCCAACGCUGACACUGAGGCACGAAAGCGUGGGGAGCAAACAGGAUUAGAUACCCCCGAGUCCCUGUCUCUUAUACA
rnacentral:rRNA from 1 species